rnacentral:lncRNA from 1 species
CGUUGACAGGCUGGUGUUUCUCGCACAAAAUCUUUAAACGAAGGAGGACACGCUUGUCUUCUAAUGUCUACCUCAAGACAGCAUUACUGUUUAUCAAAUAAAAAAAGAGGGGGAAAAUGUUUAUUGAGUUGAUAGUCUGUUUCUUGUGCAACUGGUUGAAGCUGUUCAGAUAAGAAAUUGAGUUAACAAAAAGCAAAUGGUAAUCUCAGGCUGAUGUUUAAAAAACAUUUUCUCAAACUGAGCACUUUAUUUUGUUCUUUAUUUAUAUAUAAUUGCUGCCCUUACUAGGGUUUGUCAUAGUUUAUUAUUUUGUAAUGUUCGUUAUUUGCAUCUGUGGAUUUGUUAGAAAGGAGAAGAAAUCUGUAAUUUGAUUUUAAUAAGCCAUUUAAAGUUGUCAAACUAAAAAAAAAGUUGACUUUUCUCAUAAAUAUAUAUAAUAUUUAUUUCAGAAAAAGAUAGGCCUAUUUUAUUUUAUAGGCUAUUUUUGUUUAAGAUAUUUGUAUUUAUUUAAAUGUGCACCUUAUGGAGCUUUGAUUUCCAAAAAGGUCGUCCUGUUGUUCUACAGUGUUUAUGUUUACAUGUUGUUGUUAUUUGAACAGCUGAGCAUUUAAUCUGAACCAGGUGAAGAGCCCUGUUUAUUAUUUAUUCAUUUGAUUUUUCAACUGUUCACUGAAAUAGCCGCUUUCAAUAAAACUACUUGAGACAUGUCAUAUCUGGCUUUGACUUUGACUGAACAUUUGCUCUCACUUUGCUGAAAAAAUAUCAGGAUAUAUAUCUUAUAUCGAUAUUCAGCCUAAAUAUAUCAGGAUAUGACUUUUGGUCCAUAUCGCCCAGCCCUAGCUCAAGCAUUAUUGAGCACAUCUGCAGCAAUAAGUGACUGACUGACCUGACAGGUGACUUGACAGGUGACCUGCCAUGAUACUAUGCCUUUAGAGGUGGGGGUGGAAAUGCAGUUGUUGUUCAGUCACUGCAUGAAUAUUAAAUAUGGGUUAUGCAUAUUCCAUUUUUUUGUCCUCUAGUAAAACAAGUUGUUGUUGAACCAAC